CUCGUUAUCAUGUAAUCUUUUGGACAAUCCCGAAUUGCAGUGAUCAGUGAAGCUGCGUUGCGACAGUUCUAAACCGGAAAAUCGCAUCAGCUGUUUUUCGUCCCCUUGACGUCAUUUCCUUUAGUCGAUGUGCCACCAGCUCUAUACCAGUACUUUGUUUUUAUUGUAAUAUGCGUUUUGAAUAUAAUUUACUGAGAAAUAUUUGGCCAUAAAACAACAUAGCUACAUUAGUUAUUUAACUUUUGCUCAUUAAUUAAUGACAACUCUAAGGAGCUUGCGAUGAGAUAGUAGCUAAGCGCUUCUGCUAGCUAGCUAGCUGAAAGCUAACGGAGGACCACAGUAUAUUUAGCUACAGUGACUGCUAGGUCCGAACUGCAAGUUGAAACAACUAACCUGGCGCGACUAGAACAAGUACAAGAUGCAGAAAUCAGAGAAGAGCGAUGGUGCUGAGGCAACGGUCGACGUGCAGUUUACCGACCUACCCAACGCCCUUAUCGCAUGCAAAGUAACUGAAGAUGUUUUCAAUGACCAAACUCUGAAGGGUCACAUCCUUUAAGGAGCUUUGAGUCAGCUGAGAGAUCAUGUGAUGGAAUAUUCCACUGUGUGCAUCAACACUGUGUUCUCCUUCAGGAAUGUUUGACAAAGACACACACCGUUUCCAUUCUAUUCAGAUAUUCAUCUAGUUUUAAGACCCGUCCCUGCCCUUAAUCAGUCAGCAAAGGAGAGAGGGAGGGACCAUGUCUGAGUGAAGGAGGGAGGGAAGAAAGGAAGGACACACCCCCUGUGUCAGCGGGUUGGCUGGGAGUGAAUGAACCAUGGAACGAAGGAAGAAAAGGGAGAGAGGGAGGGGCUGUGGUGUACGUCAGUAGUUGUGACUCUCAUAUAAGUGGCUGCAGAGGCAGAGAGAGCUGGAGACCAGACAGACAGAAGGCUGUAUUAUAUGAGACUUUUGCAAAUGCAGCCCAUAGUCUCGUUGGAAUGUUCUACAGCCUAGACGGAGGACUGUUUUCAGCUGUCGUGUAGCUGCCUGUCUCUGUCCUACAGACCUCACUGCCAAGGGUGGAACCUGAGAGCUAACUCUGGAUCUGGGCUAGCUGCUCAGUAGCUAACUGCUUCCGGCUUGAACGUCACUGGACAUUUUGGCUCUUCAUUUGGCCAGGACUGCAGGCUUUUGCAGCUCUCUUAGAGGGGUGUGGACUGUACAAACAGAGAGAGA
rnacentral:lncRNA from 1 species